rnacentral:rRNA from 1 species
UACGAAGGGGGCUAGCGUUGCUCGGAAUCACUGGGCGUAAAGCGCACGUAGGCGGACUCUUAAGUCGGUGGUGAAAUCCUGGAGCUCAACUCCAGAACUGCCUUCGAUACUGGGAGUCUCGAGUUCGGGAGAGGUGAGUGGAACUGCGAGUGUAGAGGUGAAAUUCGUAGAUAUUCGCAAGAACACCAGUGGCGGAGGCGGCUCACUGGCCCGAUACUGACGCUGAGGAACGAAAGCGUGGGGAGCGAACAGG